rnacentral:lncRNA from 1 species
UAUAUUUUUAUUAUAUAGAAGAAUGUAUAUGCAUAUAUAACUAUUUUCUAUUGUGAGGUUUAAUAUUUUCUUCAACCGUUCUUUAUCAACCGAGAAAUAAGUAAAAAAAAAGCAUGUCAAAAUGGCGAAUUGAGUGAACCUUGUCUCGAAUUUGUUUAAUAUCUCGUUAAAUUGUUCACAUUGUACAGGAAGAAAGAUCUUGACACGGAGAUUGCAAA